GCGAGCUGGGUUCAAACCGUCGUGAGACAGGUUGGUCUCUAUCUGCUGCAGGCGUAGACACUUGAGGAGAGUUGACCCGAGUACGAGAGGACCGGGUUGAACGCACCGCUGGUGUACCAGCUUUCCUACCAAGGGAAGCGCUGGGUAGCUAUUGUGCGGAAGGGAUAAGUGCUGAAAGCAUCUAAGCACGAAGCCUACUCCAAGAUUAGGUGUCACCAGUGCAUUGCACUGGAAUGGUUCGUGGAAGACUACCACGUUGAUAGGCUCUAGGUGUAAGCGCAGUAAUGUGUUUAGCCGAGGAGUACUAAUAAACCAUAGCGUUCUCCAU
rnacentral:rRNA from 1 species